UAUUUUCCUUUCACCAAUUAACUGAGCAUCAGUUUAAGCGGAUCCAAUUCCUUUUGAUGAUUGAGUUACAUAGUGGUCAAUUCUGCGGGAAAGGAGGUCUUUAUCUAAUGGAGAUAUGCGGAACAGAACAAUAUGAUUAUUUCCUUCACCAACAUUGUUCAAUACUUUCAUGAUAGUUUGAGGAAGACAGAAGAAAACUGAGGUAUCUUUUUAAUCCCAGUGUCUUUAGCAGUUAAGAAUGACGAAAACGAGUAAAAAGCAGGGUGCAAAGGAGUGGUACAUACAAGUAGCAGAUUCAGAACAACGUUACACAUGGUUUGAUGAUUUGAAGGGCAGGUUUGAAUUUUUCAAGGCGGAAGACGAUAAGCCAGAUGAUAAGUCAGGAAAGCUUUCUUCUGUUUCCAUAAACAAAGUGCCCCUGUAUCUCAAGGGCUUAAGAAGAGAUGCAUAUCUUCCUCGGGUGGUCUCUUUGGGCCUUUAUUAUCGUAGGAUAUCUCAACCACUCUCUCAGAGAGAAUUAUGUAAAGGUGUUCCAAAAAUGUUUGUGGUCAGAAUUUUCAGCUUUGUGGCAAUUAAGUUCAAAAACAAGCAUUCUUAUAUAGGUUUUUGUAGAAUUUAGUUAACAAUAAAUAUAGUAGUUACUGUCAUCAA